rnacentral:rRNA from 1 species
AUGGCCGGAGCUCGUUCGAGCUGCCACGCGCUGCUGCUCCCGUGUACGCGCUGCCCGCUGCUCGGUGCUACUAGCCGCGGUUGUUGCUCAAGCUGCCGCUGCUCGCCCGCGUCCACCCGCGUGUGCCCCCGCCUGCCCCGCAGUUGCAGACGCUCGUCCGUUGCUGCAGCCGUCGCCCCAGCCGACCCUUGCCCACGCCGUAGGGACGUUCGCCGCCUUCGUCGUCCGCCCCACACCGCGGCCCGGCUCCCUCUGCUCCGCCCUACGCACCACCUCGCCCCGCAGCCUACUGUGAUCAUGCCCCCUUCGUUUAGCUUGGCCAUGGUAGCCAGUGUCACCUCCAUGGUCGCCGAUUGCGGUAUAUUCAUGCCCAGGUUACAGAGGUGUGCUACUGCAAGAAGAAAGAAAACUGUUGGGGUUGGUCGUGGCAAGAUGGCUGCCACUGCAGACCAUGAUGACGACUUCAUGGAGCCACCGGUCAGCAAGAAACAUGAAGCACCAAUGUCGGAUGAACAAAUUGCUGCCUUCAAGACUGCCCUCAUUCUAUUGUUGAUGACAAAAUUCCUUGCGCCGCAAACUUUGUUGGACAAUAUAUGUCCGAGAUAUUUUAUGGCGCUCAAGAAUUCGGAUGACAUCCCUAACUGGAACUGGGCGAGGUAUGUCAUUAAUGACAUUAUAGCAGCAGCACGGGCAUUGGCCAACAAGCUUACUGAUGAAACAAAAGCCACAUAUAUAAAUGGAUGUGUCAUCUUUCUACAGAUAUUCUACUUGGACAACCUGGAUUUGGGACCGCUAAGUCUCAAGCAUGAUUGCUUCCCACGAAUUAUGGCGUAUGAUCAACAUGCAAUAAAACUACGUCCAAGAAGUGAUGUCUGUUACAGCAGACCUACUGUGGGUAUGAUGUCGGCUUUUCGAGCUGAAAGUGGCGUUGUCCCAUCGGAGACCAAUCCUGAUAAUAGCAAGAUAGUUCAGCAAGCAUUCCUGAAAGGGGACAAUUUGUCAUAUGCAAAUAUAGAUUCAUGGGCCAAUGUAUUUCGUCAAACUUCUCAUGUUCAGCUGCAGCGUCCCUUAGCUAUAGCUCAUAUGCAAUUUAUGGCCGACAUACCCGCAACAAAUAAUCUGCAUGCCAAUACAUCUACAUCAAUCUGUACACCAAGUCCAAAUGGAUCACUCAAUUUGAAUCGGUCGGUUAAGAGUGGGCAAGAGAUGAGCUUACACCUCAACAGAACAUACCCACGUCCUUCAUUAUGCGAUAUAGAGCCACCCUCCUUUGAUAUCGGCAUUGACCUAACACCAGUACAAGAAUCAAAGAAAGAUUCUGCGGAUUGCCGUCAUUCUAUCUCACCACGUUCUAUGUCAUGUGCGAUAGCAGCAUCUGGCUGCAUUAUUCUACAAGACAUGUACAUUGAGAACAUCCAAGGACAACUAAAGCAUAGCCGCCGCCCGCGGAAGCUUCCGCGGGAGCAGCUGCGGGAGCCGCUCGCCGCUGCAGCCGCCGCGGGAGCCGCUCGCCGCUAUAGCCGGACCCGCCGCGGGUCACCGCCGGAGCCGCCCCUCCCCUGGAUCCGCUCGCGGUUGGUCGCCGCCGGAGCCUCCCCGCCCCUGGAUUCGCUCGCCGCUGGUCGCCGCCGGAGCCUCCCGUCGUGCUCCCACUCAGCUUGGCCUCCGCCCCGCCGCCCCCGGUCCUCAAGCAAAUAUUCUCCUGGUUUCAUGAAUUGGUUGGGAUUUUUGGAAAGUCUCACUUGGGCAGGACAACUAUGCUCCAAUGGUCACGUCGCCCAGGACGUCGGCGGCGGAGACAAAGGCAAUUUGUACUGGGACGUCGUGGCCGAGCCGCAGGACCUCCGCCUUGACGAGCUGCUCGACCUAGGCCUCGACGAGAUGUCGGACCUCGGCCUCCCUCUGGUUUUCAUGAUGAUCUCAGUUUAUGUUUGGCUGAACAUGAGCAUGUCUGUUUGUGGUGUUGAGGUCUAUGGUAGUGUCACGAAUUUUGGGGUACAUCUCCUUGCACUCAGGUGGAAGGAAUUCCUCGCCCUCAAGUCCAACUAA